rnacentral:rRNA from 1 species
UACGUAGGGGGCAAGCGUUGUCCGGAAUCAUUGGGCGUAAAGAGCGCGUAGGCGGCCCUGUAAGUCCGUUGUGAAAGUCAAGGGCUCAACCCUUGAAUGCCGGUGGAUACUGCAGGGCUAGAGUCCGGAAGAGGCGAGUGGAAUUCCUGGUGUAGCGGUGAAAUGCGCAGAUAUCAGGAGGAACACCGAUGGCGAAGGCAGCUCGCUGGGACGGUACUGACGCUGAGGCGCGAAAGCGUGGGGAGCAAACAGG